AACGAACGCUGGCGGCAUGCCUAACACAUGCAAGUCGAACGAGCCCUUCGGGUCUAGUGGCGCACCGGUGCGUAACGCGUGGGAACCUGCCCUUAGGUUCGGAAUAACUCCCCGAAAGGGGUGCUAAUACCGGAUAAUGUCUUCGGACCAAAGAUUUAUCGCCUUUGGAUGGGCCCGCGUUGGAUUAGCUAGUUGGUAGGGUAAAAGCCUACCAAGGCGACGAUCCAUAGCUGGUCUGAGAGGAUGAUCAGCCACACUGGGACUGAGACACGGCCCAGACUCCUACGGGAGGCAGCAGUGGGGAAUAUUGGACAAUGGGCGAAAGCCUGAUCCAUCAAUGCCGCGUGAGUGAUGAAGGCCUUAGGGUUGUAAAGCUCUUUUACCCGGGAUGAUAAUGACAGUACCGGGAGAAUAAGCUCCGGCUAACUCCGUG
rnacentral:rRNA from 1 species